AGAUCACUCCAGUGCUCCCCCUCACUGUGACCUGUCACAAUUUGAGAAUAACCAGGGACCCUAGCGGUACCAGGAAGGGAGUUGAAGAGUAGAGGGUUGUGGGCCCACCUUACCCCACCAAUCUAGUCCUUCAGGGUUCCCAGCUUUAGUACUGACCCAGCCCUCCCCAGGUGCCUGUGGACAUAUGAGAUCCAGUUCUCCCAGAAGGGUGAGGCGUAUGCCCCAAUCAGCAGGAGGCCGUCUACUUUCAACCUUUUUGUGUUCAGCCCAGACACAGGUGUGGUUUCUGGCUCCUAUCAAGUACGAGCAUUGGACUACUGGGCCCGGCCAGGCCCCUUCUCAGACCCUGUGACUUACCUGGAUGUCCCUGCCUCGUGAGAGCCACUGGCUUCUAGUGACUGUAUCUUUCUCUACCUCAGCCUUGGAGUCUGUCUUUGUGGAUGAACACUACAGGGGGCCCAGCUGCAGUGACCUUUGCCUGCUUUCCUCUCUCCACCCAGAUGCUCAAAAGUUUAACUUUGGAACUGGGAAGAUGGCUCAGUGGGUAAAGUGCUUGCUGUGCAAACAUGAGGACUUGAGUUCAGGUAUCUAGUACUCAUGUAAAGGCCGGGCAUGGCGAGAGAUGCCUAUAACCCUAGUGUUGGUGGGAGGGACAGAGGCAGGCCAGGGCGCACUGCUCAUCUAGUCUACCUGAAACUGCAAGCUCCAGGUUCAGUGAGAAAUCCUGCUUCAGAAAAAUCAAGUAGAGAACUAUAGAGAAGAUACUCAAUAUUGAACUUUGGUCUACACAUGCACGCGCACAAACACACACCCUCUUUCUCUCCCUCUCUCUCUCUCACCCGCAAAACACACUGCACAUCAUACUAUGCAUACACAGGCUAAAUUCAGUUCCUUUUCUGAGACUCAAGACAAACUUUUAGCUUGAGAUUCUACAAUAUCAAGAAUAAAGUUAUGCGCUUCUGAAAUACAAUUGCAUAGGAUAAACAUCUCCAUGUCAACAGGAAAAUAAAUGACAAGGAAGGAUUUAACUGAAGCAAGACCAAAACAUUAAAUCCUGAAAGACAAACAUUAAAUCCUGC